rnacentral:lncRNA from 1 species
CAUUUUUCAAAUGAAGAAACUGAGACAUAGAAAGGUUUAGUAGCUUGGCAAGGUCACAUGGCUUGAAAGUGGUAGAGUAGGUUCCAAAGUCUGUGCUCCUGACUACUAUACUAAGAUGGCACAAAUACUUUGAUAUUCUGCAGGCACCAUUUUUUUUCAUUAUAUUGUUGGUAGCUAUUUCAUAUGGCUUCUUCUAACCUUGCUUUAUAAUUUCCAUUCCUGAUUAUCAAGAAGUGACAACUUGCAAAGCAUAAUCUUCUGAUAAACUUUUCUCUUUUUUUCAGAGAGUCAUUUUCAACAUUGUUAACUUCAGUAAAACCAAGAGUCUAUAUAGAGAUGGGAUGGCCCCUAUGGUGAAAUCUACAAGCAGACCCAAAUGACAAGGAAUCUAAGCCCACAGAGGAACUGUGACUCAUCCAAGAUAAUACCACUAGGACAAGCUGGAAUUGAGGCUUUUGCCAGGCUUUUGACUCCUAAUCCAAUAACCUUAUAUACAGGAAUCCUACCUCAACUCCUACCCCACUUUUCUAUUGAGAUUGAUCCUGGGGACAGAAGCGAGAUAGAAUAUUUAUACUUUACAUACCUACGGUUUGUUUACCCAUGCAAUCAGAGGAAGUAGUACACUCAGUUUCUACAGAGUUGAAGUGUUUUCCAGAGUCUAGGAGGAACAAGACACUUAAGUGAGAAUCAAUAACAACUAAAUAUAGAUGAAUGGAGGUUGUUUAAGGGACACAAAGAACAAGGAAGACGAGGAGCAGCCUUAUUUACAAAGGAAAAGUUCUAUGAUGCCUUCUUCUAUGUCCUUGAAAAAGGAAAUAGAAAACUUCUAAGGAGUCACUGUGGCAUCAAAUUAAAUCCAUGUAGGGAAGCAAGAAGAAAUGAAUUUUCAGGAGGCUAUCAAUCAAAGCCCUAGGUCUAAAAGGAGAUAUGAGGCACAGGAAAGAUAGAGUUGAUCUGCCCCAUGGUUUAUAUCCCAGAAGCAUGAGGCUCAGAGCACAGAACUACCAGUCCAUACUGGUAGUAGUCUAGUACUUCUCUCUGAAUAGUUAUGCGCGGAAAUAAGGAAAAAGUCAUAUGAUGAAGCAUCAGGAGAUAAAU